AUCACUUCUCAGCCUUUUGGCUACAAUCAAGUGUAGUAUAUGUUCUUAUCAGUUUAAUAGAAUAAAAGAAAAGAAUCAUAUGAUCAUCUUAA
rnacentral:snRNA from 1 species